AGAGCGAACGCUGGCGGCAGGCCUAACACAUGCAAGUCGAGCGCCCGUAGCAAUACGGGAGCGGCAGACGGGAGAGUAACACGUGGGAACGUACCCUUCAGUUCGGAACAACCAAGGGAAACUUUGGCUAAUACCGAAUACGUCCGUAAGGAGAAAGAUUUAUCGCUGAAGGAUCGGCCCGCGUCUGAUUAGCUAGUUGGUGAGGUAACGGCUCACCAAGGCGACGAUCAGUAGCUGGUCUGAGAGGAUGAUCAGCCUCAUUGGGACUGAGACACGGCCCAAACUCCUACGGGAGGCAGCAGUGGGGAAUAUUGGACAAUGGGCGCAAGCCUGAUCCAGCCAUGCCGCGUGGAUGAUGAAGGCCCUAGGGUUGUAAAGUCCUUUCGACGGGGAAGAUAAUGACGGUACCGUAGAAGAAGCCCGGCUAACUUCGUGCCAGCAGCCGC
rnacentral:rRNA from 1 species